GCUCCGGUAGCUCAGCUGGAUAGAGUAACGGACUUCGAAUCCGGGGGUCGUAGGUUCGAAUCCUACUCGGAGCG
rnacentral:tRNA from 1 species